CAGUCGAGGGGCAUCGGGGAUGUUAGCUUGCUAAUAUCUGCCGGCGACCGGCGCACGGGUGAGUAACGCGUAUGCGACCUGCCCGUUACAGGGGGAUAAUCCGGAGAAAUCCGGUCUAAUACCGCAUAAUAUCGUGAAGCUGCAUGGUUUUGCGAUUAAAGGAGCGAUCCGGUGACGGAUGGGCAUGCGUGACAUUAGCUAGUCGGCGGGGUAACGGCCCACCGAGGCGACGAUGUCUAGGGGUUCUGAGAGGAAGGUCCCCCACACUGGUACUGAGACACGGACCAGACUCCUACGGGAGGCAGCAGUGGGGAAUAUUGGGCAAUGGGCGCAAGCCUGACCCAGCAACGCCGCGUGAAGGAAGAAGGCUUUCGGGUUGUAAACUUCUUUUGUCAGGGACGAAGCAAGUGACGGUACCUGACGAAUAAGCCACGGCUAACUACGUGCCAGCAGCCGCGGUAAUACGUAGGUGGCAAGCGUUAUCCGGAUUUACUGGGUGUAAAGGGAGCGUAGACGGCAGUGCAAGUCUGGAGUGAAAGGCGGGGGCUCAACCCCCGGACUGCUCUGGAAACUGUACGGCUGGAGUGCAGGAGAGGUAAGUGGAAUUCCUAGUGUAGCGGUGAAAUGCGUAGAUAUUAGGAGGAACACCAGUGGCGAAGGCGGCUUACUGGACUGUAACUGACGUUGAGGCUCGAAAGCGUGGGGAGCAAACAGGAUUAGAUACCCUGGUAGUCCACGCCGUAAACGAUGCUCACUGGUUCUGUGCGAUAUACAGUACGGGAUUAAGCGAAAGUAUUAAGUGAGCCACCUGGGGAGUAC
rnacentral:rRNA from 1 species